CCCACGCAGUUCCGGCUCAAAGCGCCUCUGCUGCUCCACUCGCUGUGUGCGCGCAGAACAUUCGCAAACACCAACAAUUCGAAAAUUUAAACCAUGUUUUUAAGCAGCAAGCUAAUUAUUAUUAUUUUUUUGGUUUUGUGUUAACCUUUGCCAGCUAAUAUUUUCAAAUUCAUCCCCAGACUUCAUUAUUUUGUUCAUAUUUUUUUUUAGUUUUACCAUCCGAAAUAAAUUAAUGCUGACCCAUGGCCUCGUCUCUCUCUGGGAAUGAUGGAGGCGCUGCUUGGCGGUGUAGAUGGUGGGGUCGUCACCAUCCAGGGGCACCUUCAAGGGCUACUUCCUGCAAGCGCGAGAUCCCGACACCACGACCAUCGUGGGCACAUGGGACACCCCACAAAGGAGGUCCCAUGAUGUUGCAGACAACAGUUAAUACCGUCGACGUCACCACGCGUCUGGAGGAUUUGGCUGCCACAACUCGACAUUUCCGCUGAAGACCAUUCUCCACUUCGUUGACCUAUCAUUUGCGAUGGCCAGGCCGCUUUUGAAAAAAAAGCUGUAUAGCAGCUUAGUCGGGCCUUAACUUUUAAAAUAAAAUUGUUUCGUUUUAUAUAGUUUUUUUUUUAAUAUAGAAAAUCCGGAGCGUGUCUAUCUGUGGUGGGGAUUGUGAAUGCUUACGGGUCACGUGACCAGG